AUUGAACGCUGGCGGCAGGCCUAACACAUGCAAGUCGAGCGGAUGAAGGGAGCUUGCUCCUGGAUUCAGCGGCGGACGGGUGAGUAAUGCCUAGGAAUCUGCCUGGUAGUGGGGGAUAACGUCCGGAAACGGGCGCUAAUACCGCAUACGUCCUGAGGGAGAAAGUGGUGGAUCUUCGGACCUCACGCUAUCAGAUGAGCCUAGGUCGGAUUAGCUAGUUGGUGGGGUAAAGGCCUACCAAGGCGACGAUCCGUAACUGGUCUGAGAGGAUGAUCAGUCACACUGGAACUGAGACACGGUCCAGACUCCUACGGGAGGCAGCAGUGGGGAAUAUUGGACAAUGGGCGAAAGACUGAUCCAGCCAUGCCGCGUGUGUGAAGAAGGUCUUCGGAUUGUAAAGCACUUUAAGUUGGGAGGAAGGGCAGUAAGUUAAUACCUUGCUGUUUUGACGUUACCAACAGAAUAAGCACCGGCUAACUUCGUG
rnacentral:rRNA from 1 species